rnacentral:rRNA from 1 species
GACGAACGCUGGCGGCGUGCUUAACACAUGCAAGUCGAACGGAAAGGCCCUGCUUUUGUGGGGUGCUCGAGUGGCGAACGGGUGAGUAACACGUGAGUAACCUGCCCUUGACUUUGGGAUAACUUCAGGAAACUGGGGCUAAUACCGGAUAGGAGCUCCUGCUGCAUGGUGGGGGUUGGAAAGUUUUGGCGGUUGGGGAUGGACUCGCGGCUUAUCAGCUUGUUGGUGGGGUAGUGGCUUACCAAGGCUUUGACGGGUAGCCGGCCUGAGAGGGUGACCGGCCACAUUGGGACUGAGAUACGGCCCAGACUCCUACGGGAGGCAGCAGUGGGGAAUAUUGCACAAUGGGCGGAAGCCUGAUUCAGCAACGCCGCGUGCGGGAUGACGGCCUUCGGGUUGUAAACCGCUUUCGCCUGUGACGAAGCGUGAGUGACGGUAAUGGGUAAAGAAGCACCGGCUAACUACGUG